AUUUUUUCUACCUUGUUAGAUCUUUGUUUUUAGUGUUUAGUGAUUAGUGAGGAUUACAUAAAAAUAUUUCUGGGAAUGUUUGACGUUCAGUAGGAUUUUGUUGUGAUUUGCAUUUUUGAAGAGAAUUAUUUAUUUUGGGAAAAUUGUUUAAGAUUACAUAUAAAAUGAGAAGCCGAGAAAAAGAAAAUAAGAAAAAAAAAAUAGGAAACGUUGUUUAGGAUUAUAUGUUAAAAAAAAAAAGAAGCUGAGAAAAAGAAAAUAAGAGGAAAAGAGGAAAAGAAGGAAAAAAGAUUGGAUCAGGAUAUAUAAUUUCAAUUUUUGCUGGAGAUAAAAUUUAUGUUUGUUGCAUCAGUAUAGGUAAGAUUGACUAUGUAUUUUUGGGGAGAGAAAAAUAAAUUAAACAGUUAAAAAUGUUUUUAGUUAGAUUGAGAGUGGAGAAACAUGUUUGUAAUUGUCAUUUAGGCUAUAAGAAGCGAAAAAAUCAAUAGAAUAAAACUAUUUUCCUUCAAUUGAAAAUUGUAAAUAGUAUAUUUGCUUUUGUAAAUUAAUAAUUUUGGUAGAAAAUUUUUAAAUAAGGAAGAACGUUUAUUGUUUUCUAUAUUAGAUAGAAGAUAAAAAAUGAAUGAAAGGCAACAUGUGAAAUAAACAUGAAGGCUAUUUGAAGUUGCUUUUUUCAUUUCUUCUUAUACUUCUUUUGCUUAGAUAAAUAUAAGAAUCCGUGAUAUCGGAUUAGCAUAAAUAUAAAGGUCAUUAAUGAAAUAUUUCUUCAAAAUAUUUUUCGUAAAGUAGCAACAUAGAUACGUUGGACAUACUACUUACGUACUACUCAUAGAAAUAGUCUAUUAUUUAAAAGUAAAUCAAUGGUUAUUGAAAUUUACAAAUAGGAUGUGUUCAAAAUGGUUUAUUUAUAUGUUUAAAAA
rnacentral:lncRNA from 1 species